rnacentral:sRNA from 1 species
CCCUCUUGGAGAUCUCUAAGCGGUUCCGCAAGGAGAUGGAGAAAGGGCUUGGAGCCACCACUCACCCUACUGCAGCAGUGAAGAUGCUGCCCACCUUUGUGAGGUCCACUCCAGAUGGGACAGAACACGGAGAGUUCCUGGCUCUGGAUCUUGGAGGGACCAACUUCCGUGUGCUUUGGGUGAAAGUAACGGACAAUGGGCUCCAGAAGGUGGAGAUGGAGAAUCAGAUCUAUGCCAUCCCUGAGGACAUCAUGCGAGGCAGUGGCACCCAGGUAUGACCCUUCUCUCAGGGCGGCCCCUGGUGACAAAAAACUUCCCUGGCAUGUUCUUUCUGUACUUUCUCCAGCCGCUCCCAGCGUGUGGAUAUGCAGUCACCCAAGACACUCAUGGAUGCC